rfam:Populus trichocarpa scaffold_15_contig_148, whole genome shotgun sequence.
GUGUCACAAUAGUAAUCCAACCUAGUAUGAGAGGAACCGUUGAUUCGCAUAAUUGGUCUUUGUGCUUAGUUGAAAAGCCAGUGGUGCGAAGCUACCGUGCGUUGGAUUAUGACUGAACACCUCUAUGUCAGAAUCCAGGCUAGAUACGAUGC